GACGAACGCUGGCGGCGUGCCUAAUACAUGCAAGUAGAACGCUGAAGGAGGAGCUUGCUCUUCUGGAUGAGUUGCGAACGGGUGAGUAACGCGUAGGUAACCUGCCUGGUAGCGGGGGGUAACUAUUGGAAACGAUAGCUAAUACCGCAUAAGAGUAGAUGUUGCAUGACAUUUACUUAAAAGGUGCAAUUGCAUCACUACCAGAUGGACCUGCGUUGUAUUAGCUAGUUGGUGGGGUAACGGCUUACCAAGGCGACGAUACAUAGCCGACCUGAGAGGGUGAUCGGCCACACUGGGACUGAGACACGGCCCAGACUCCUACGGGAGGCAGCAGUAGGGAAUCUUCGGCAAUGGACGGAAGUCUGACCGAGCAACGCCGCGUGAGUGAAGAAGGUUUUCGGAUCGUAAAGCUCUGUUGUAAGAGAAGAACGAGUGUGAGAGUGGAAAGUUCACACUGUGACGGUAUCUUACCAGAAAGGGACGGCUAACUACGUG
rnacentral:rRNA from 1 species